rnacentral:rRNA from 1 species
CCACGUAGAAAGCACCGGUUUUCGUCCGAUCACCGAAGUUAAGCUACGUCGG